rnacentral:rRNA from 1 species
UACGUAGGGUGCGAGCGUUGUCCGGAAUUAUUGGGCGUAACGAGCUCGUAGGCGGUCUGUCGCGUCGGUCGUGAAAACUUGGGGCUUAACCCUGAGCUUGCAGUGGGUACGGGCAGACUAGAGUGCGGUAGGGGAGACUGGAAUUCCUGGUGUAGCGGUGAAAUGCGCAGAUAUCAGGAGGAACACCGGUGGCGAAGGCGGGUCUCUGGGCCGUAACUGACGCUGAGGAGCGAAAGCAUGGGGAGCGAACAGG